UGCAAGUCGAGCGGUAAGGCCCUUCGGGGUACACGAGCGGCGAACGGGUGAGUAACACGUGAGCAACCUGCCCCUGACUCCGGGAUAAGCGGUGGAAACGCCGUCUAAUACCGGAUACGACCCUUGGCCUCCUGGCCGGGGGUGGAAAGUUUUUUCGGUUGGGGAUGGGCUCGCGGCCUAUCAGCUUGUUGGUGGGGUAACGGCCUACCAAGGCGAUUACGGGUAGCCGGCCUGAGAGGGCGACCGGCCACACUGGGACUGAGACACGGCCCAGACUCCUACGGGAGGCAGCAGUGGGGAAUAUUGCACAAUGGGCGAAAGCCUGAUGCAGCGACGCCGCGUGGGGGAUGACGGCCUUCGGGUUGUAAACCUCUUUUACCACUAACGCAGGCUCGGAGUUCUCUUCGGGUUGACGGUAGGUGGGGAAUAAGGACCGGCUAACUACGUGCCAGCAGCCGCGGUAAUACGUAGGGUCCGAGCGUUGUCCGGAAUUAUUGGGCGUAAAGAGCUCGUAGGCGGCGUGUCGCGUCUGCUGUGAAAGACCGGGGCUUAACUCCGGUUUGGCAGUGGAUACGGGCACGCUAGAGGUAGGUAGGGGAGACUGGAAUUCCUGGUGUAGCGGUGAAAUGCGCAGAUAUCAGGAGGAACACCGGUGGCGAAGGCGGGUCUCUGGGCCUUACCUGACG
rnacentral:rRNA from 1 species